CGGGGGAGCAAGCGUUGUUCGGAUUUACUGGGCGUAAAGGGCGCGUAGGCGGCGCAACAAGUCACUUGUGAAAUCUCCGGGCUUAACCCGGAGCGGCCAAGUGAUACUGUCGUGCUAGAGUGCGAAGGGGGCUACUGGAAUUCUCGGUGUAGCGGUGAAAUGCGUAGAUAUCGAGAGGAACACCUGCGGCGAAGGCGGGUAGCUGGGCCGACACUGACGCUGAUGCGCGAAAGCCAGGGGAGCGAACGGGAUUAGAUACCCCGGUAGUCCUGGCCUUAAACGAUGGAUACUUGGUGUCCGGGGUUACAUAGUCCCCGGGUGCCGGCGCUAACGCAUUAAGUAUCCCGCCUGGGGAGUACGGUCGCAAGACUG
rnacentral:rRNA from 1 species